AGCAGCCGCCGCGGUAAUACGUAGGCAGCAAGCGUUGUUCGGAAUUACUGGGCGUAAAGAGUGUGUAGGCGGUGCUCUUAGUUCGGUGUGAAAUCUCCCGGCUCAACUGGGAGGGUGCGCCGGAAACUGGAGUGCUCGAGCGUGGGAGAGGAAGGCGGAAUUCCUGGUGUAGCGGUGAAAUGCGUAGAUAUCAGGAGGAACACCUGUGGUGUAGACGGCUUUCUGGACCAUUGCUGACGCUGAGACACGAAAGCGUGGGUAGCAAACAGGAUUAGAUACCCCUGUAGUCCCUGUCUCUUAUAC
rnacentral:rRNA from 1 species